rnacentral:rRNA from 1 species
UAGGGAAUCUUCGGCAAUGGACGAAAGUCUGACCGAGCAACGCCGCGUGAGUGAAGAAGGUUUUCGGAUCGUAAAACUCUGUUGUUAGAGAAGAACAAGGACGUUAGUAACUGAACGUCCCCUGACGGUAUCUAACCAGAAAGCCACGGCUAACUACGUGCCAGCAGCCGCGGUAAUACGUAGGUGGCAAGCGUUGUCCGGAUUUAUUGGGCGUAAAGCGAGCGCAGGCGGUUUCUUAAGUCGGAUGUGAAAGCCCCCGGCUCAACCGGGUAGGGUCAUUGGAAACUGGGAGACUUGAGUGCAGAAGAGGAGAGUGGAAUUCCAUGUGUAGCGGUGAAAUGCGUAGAUAUAUGGAGGAACACCAGUGGCGAAGGCGGCUCUCUGGUCUGUAACUGACGCUGAGGCUCGAAAGCGUGGGGAGCAAACAGG